rnacentral:pre_miRNA from 2 species
UCUUAUGGGUGAGCAAAGAAAGUGGUUUCUUGAGGUGGAAUCUAUUCUUUGUGAACUUUUGUGAA